rnacentral:rRNA from 1 species
AACGUAGGGUGCGAGCGUUAAUCGGAUUUACUGGGCGUAAAGCGUGCGCAGGCGGCCCGUUAAGACAGGUGUGAAAUCCCUGGGCUCAACCUAGGAAUUGCGCUUGUGACUGGCGGGCUCGAGUACGGUAGAGGGGGGUGGAAUUCCUGGUGUAGCAGUGAAAUGCGUAGAGAUCAGGAGGAACACCGAUGGCGAAGGCAGCCCCCUGGGCCUGUACUGACGCUCAUGCACGAAAGCGUGGGGAGCAAACAGG